UACGUAGGGUGCAGGCGUUAAUCGGAAUUACUGGGCGUAAAGCGUGCGCAGGCGGUCUGCUAAGAGAGGUGUGAAAUCCCCGGGCUUAACCUGGGAACUGCGCUUCUAACUGGCAGGCUAGAGUGUGGCAGAGGGGGGUGGAAUUCCACGUGUAGCAGUGAAAUGCGUAGAGAUGUGGAGGAACACCGAUGGCGAAGGCAGCCCCCUGGGCUAACACUGACGCUCAUGCACGAAAGCCAGGGGAGCGAACGGG
rnacentral:rRNA from 1 species